rnacentral:rRNA from 1 species
GGACUACCGGGGUAUCUAAUCCUGUUUGCUACCCACGCUUUCGUGCAUCAGCGUCAGUAAUGGUCCAGAAAGCCGUUUACACCACCGGUGUUCCUCCAGAUAUCUACGCAUUUCACCGCUACACCUGGAAUUCCACUUUCCUCUCCCACACUCUAGCCCCUCAGUAUUCGGCGCACCCUCCCAGUUGAGCCGGGAGAUUUCACACCAAACUUAAGAAGCCGCCUACGCACCCUUUACGCCCAGUAACUCCGAACAACGCUUGCUGCCUACGUAUUACCGCGGCUGCUGGCAC